rnacentral:lncRNA from 1 species
UAUUAAUGGUUAAAUGUUAGGUAUUGAGAAUUCCAAAAAUAAAAACCAUUUCAAAAUAUAAAUUAAUAGAUAGUAGUAAGCAUGGUCGUAUCAAUAGAUAUCAAACAUAAUUUUAUUUCUUUAAUAAACAAGUAAAAUAAAAAUAAAAUAAGGAGAUUUUAAAAUCAAAAACUAAAAAUAAAAUUAAAACAAAGUAAAUUAAAAUAAAAUAUAAGAAACUCGAUGAGGAAAAUCUCUAGCCAAAAG